GAGCGGCAAAAGCUCAAAUUUGAAAUCUGGUACCUUCGGUGCCCGAGUUGUAAUUUGGAGAGGGCAACUUUGGGGCCGUUCCUUGUCUAUGUUCCUUGGAACAGGACGUCAUAGAGGGUGAGAAUCCCGUGUGGCGAGGAGUGCGGUUCUUUGUAAAGUGCCUUCGAAGAGUCGAGUUGUUUGGGAAUGCAGCUCUAAGUGGGUGGUAAAUUCCAUCUAAAGCUAAAUAUUGGCGAGAGACCGAUAGCGAACAAGUACAGUGAUGGAAAGAUGAAAAGAACUUUGAAAAGAGAGUGAAAAAGUACGUGAAAUUGUUGAAAGGGAAGGGCAUUUGAUCAGACAUGGUGUUUUGUGCCCUCUGCUCCUUGUGGGUAGGGGAAUCUCGCAUUUCACUGGGCCAGCAUCAGUUUUGGUGGCAGGAUAAAUCCAUAGGAAUGUAGCUUGCCUCGGUAAGUAUUAUAGCCUGUGGGAAUACUGCCAGCUGGGACUGAGGACUGCGAC
rnacentral:rRNA from 1 species